rnacentral:rRNA from 1 species
CAGCAGCCGCGGGAAUACGUAGGGUGCAAGCGUUAAUCGGAAUUACUGGGCGUAAAGCGUGCGCAGGCGGUUAUAUAAGACAGAUGUGAAAUCCCCGGGCUCAACCUGGGAACUGCAUUUGUGACUGUAUAGCUAGAGUACGGCAGAGGGGGAUGGAAUUCCGCGUGUAGCAGUGAAAUGCGUAGAUAUGCGGAGGAACACCGAUGGCGAAGGCAAUCCCCUGGGCCUGUACUGACGCUCAUGCACGAAAGCGUGGGGAGCAAACAGGAUUAGAUAACCCCGUAGUCCCUGUCUCUUAUAC